AUCGCGUCGCACCUUCCCAUCGACUUUAGAGUUCUGUAAAGGCUGUUUAACUAUACUCUGAAGCAAUUGCUCAUCUUUGGAAAGCCUAAGUAACACAGAUAGUAUACAGUCGUCGGGUGCUGGAAGAUUUUGAGAAAGCUUUUUGUAAGCCAAAACUUGUUGUUUCAAAAUCAGUUUCUCCGUAUUCUUAUCUACGGAAGAGAAACACCUUUUAAUGUGUCCUUUUAAAUCCCUCCGUGCUUCAAUUUCUGACUGUGCUGAUCGCAAAACAUCACACAAUUGAGCAUAUUCCGUAUUAUCGUGCUCAGUAGCGCCAGACUCUUUCAAUUUCUUCCAUCGCUAAAAAAACAGUUAACUCCUUAGGUCCCUACAACACUUACCACAAUUGUUUCUUCCACUUCAUUUCUCGUGUAUUGCUUCUCUGCACGCAUAUUUGUGAUCAAAAAUCCAAAUUACCACAUAAAUAGACGAUUUCCAGGUCGUUAUUAUUGAAAUAAAAAACAAACAAAAUUCUAUCACAAAAGUGAUUGUACGCCCUUAGUAAAAAGUGCUUACUUGCCAAUUCUUGCAAAUCGUUAAACGCUAGGUUGUUGGAAAGGCAUACUGCACUUCCAACCCUCCAUUGUGGCAAACAGGGCAUCAGUCUUAUCGUUAUUCUAAAUAAGGUUGUCUAAAGAGAACGCAAAAAAAUAUGAAUAUUAGUAAAGAAUGGUACAUAUAUAUGUCUAACUACACCUCAGAUUUCAUCUAAUAAAGAGGAAAGUAAUUAAACACUUUUCUCUUUUUAUACACGAAAUUAAAUAGUAUAUGAAAUUGCACACAUCCCAAAUCGACAACUCAAAAAACUUGCGAACUGAGUUAAUAUUAAAGAUUUUAACACACCCAACCAAAAAUGAUAUUUUAUAC